GGGCGCGUAGCUCAGUUGGUAGAGCAGCGGACUCUUAAUCCGUCGGUCCAGGGUUCGACCCCCUGCGCACCCACCA
rnacentral:tRNA from 5 species